rnacentral:rRNA from 1 species
AGUGAACGCUGGCGGUAGGCCUAACACAUGCAAGUCGAACGGCAGCACAGGAGAGCUUGCUCUCUGGGUGGCGAGUGGCGGACGGGUGAGGAAUACAUCGGAAUCUACUCUGUCGUGGGGGAUAACGUAGGGAGACUUACGCUAAUACCGCAUACGACCUACGGGUGAAAGCAGGGGACCUUCGGGCCUUGCGCGAUUGAAUGAGCCGAUGUCGGAUUAGCUAGUUGGCGGGGUAAAGGCCCACCAAGGAGACGAUCCGUAGCUGGUCUGAGAGGAUGAUCAGCCACACUGGAACUGAGACACGGUCCAGACUCCUACGGGAGGCAGCAGUGGGGAAUAUUGGACAAUGGGCGCAAGCCUGAUCCAGCCAUACCGCGUGGGUGAAGAAGGCCUUCGGGUUGUAAAGCCCUUUUGUUGGGAAAGAAAUCCAGCUGGCUAAUACCCGGUUGGGAUGACGGUACCCAAAGAAUAAGCACCGGCUAACUUCGUGCCAGCCGCCGCGGUAA